rnacentral:tRNA from 1 species
GAUAAAGUGGCUGAUAAAAGCAAUAAAUUGUAAAUUUAUUUAUGAAUUAGAAUUCCUUUAUCA